UACGAACUGUGCGAACGUUAUUCGGAAUCACUGGGCUUAAAGGGUGCGUAGGCGGUUUUCUAAGUCACGUGUGAAAUCUUCCGGCUCAACCGGAAAACUGCGCGUGAUACUGGAUAACUUGAGUGAGGUAGGGGUGUGUGGAACUUCCGGUGGAGCGGUGAAAUGUGUAGAGAUCGGAAGGAACGCCAGCAGCGAAAGCGGCACACUGGGCCUUUUCUGACGCUGAGGCACGAAAGCUAGGGGAGUGAAC
rnacentral:rRNA from 1 species